AAACUAAAGGCACUAGCUCUGUUCCCAGCUCUGCUACUCCGAGAAGGGGGGACGAAGAGGAAACAAUUAACAAACAAACUUUGCUCCUUUCUCUCUGGGGCUCACUAAAAGCGUCACUUCCUCAUACUGUAAGUGGAAGAGGCUCCCAAUGAGUUCAUUUAAUUCAACUCGUCCCUCCUGCUCCUCUCACAGAAUUUGUAGUUCAGAGUGUUAGCCGGGAAGCAGCUCCUUCCUCUCUUCCACCCUUGAUUAUUGAGGAGUUCUGACUAGCAGUAUCGUGAUUCUUGCUGCCCUUGCCUUCUCACAGAUUUUUAUUUGACCUUCUGUGCCUGGAAAUUGUUCUCUCACCCAGUGGAAUAUGUACUUCUGGGAUUUCUCAAUCUGGAAUAUAACCCUUUCUGUCACCCUGGCCUGA